rnacentral:rRNA from 1 species
GUGAGGAAUUUUGCGCAAUGGGGGAAACCCUGACGCAGCGACGCCGCGUGGAGGAAGACGGCCUUCGGGUUGUAAACUCCUGUCAGAGGUGAAGAAUGCCCGCAAGGGCUUGACGGUAACCUCAGAGGAAGCCCCGGCUAACUACGUGCCAGCAGCCGCGGUAAUACGUAGGGGGCGAGCGUUGCUCGGAAUUACUGGGCGUAAAGGGAGUGCAGGCGGCCGGUUAAGUCAAAGAUGAAAUCCCGAGGCUUAACUUCGGAAUGGUCUUUGAUACUGAUCGGCUUGAGGCUGGUUGAGGAGAGCGGAAUUCCCGGUGGAGCGGUGAAAUGCGUAGAUAUCGGGAGGAACACCAGAGGCGAAGGCGGCUCUCUAAACUAGUCCUGACGCUGAGACUCGAAAGCUAGGGGAGCAAACGGGAUUAGAUACCCGAGUAGUCC